rnacentral:rRNA from 1 species
GACGAACGCUGGCGGCGUGCUUAACACAUGCAAGUCGAACGGUGAACCAGAGCUUGCUCUGGGGAUCAGUGGCGAACGGGUGAGUAACACGUGGGCAACCUGCCCCAGACUCUGGGAUAACUCCGGGAACCGGAGCUAAUACCGGAUAUGACUACUUCGGACAUCCGACGGUAGUGGAAAGUUUUUCGGUCUGGGAUGGGCCCGCGGCCUAUCAGCUAGUUGGUGGGGUAAUGGCCUACCAAGGCGACGACGGGUAGCCGGCCUGAGAGGGCGACCGGCCACACUGGAACUGAGACACGGUCCAGACUCCUACGGAAGGCAGCAGUGGGGAAUAUUGCACAAUGGGCGAAAGCCUGAUGCAGCGACGCCGCGUGAGGGA